UCUGCCCAGAGGCGUUGCAGCUGUGGCUGCUGUGUCACAUGUGUGUCAGUAGGUGGCAGAGAGGAGAGAGGCUGAGUCUAUACUAGGUGAUCUGACCUAUGAACAUCUGAAUGAUUUGUAACCUAACAGU